AACGAACGCUGGCGGCAUGCCUAACACAUGCAAGUCGAACGAGACCUUCGUGUCUAGUUGCGCACGUGUGCUUAACGCGUGGUAACCUGCCCUUAGGUUCGGAAUACCUCCCCUUAAGGUGUCCUCAUACCGGUUAAUCUCUUCGGACCUAAGAUUUAUCGCCUUUGGAUGGGCCCGCGUUGGUUUAGCUAGUUGGUAGGGUAAAAGCCUACCAAGGCGACGUUCCAUAGCUGGUCUGAGAGGAUGAUCAGCCACACUGGGAAUGAGACACGGCCCAGACUCGUACGGGAAGCAGCAGUGGGGAAUAUUGGACAAGGGGCGAAAGACUGAUCAAGCAAUGCCGCGUGAGUGAGGAAGGCCUUAGGGUUGUAAAGCUCUUUGACACGGGAUGAUAAUGACAGUACCGGGAGAAUAAGCACCGGCUAACUCCGUG
rnacentral:rRNA from 1 species